rnacentral:rRNA from 1 species
AAUGAACGCUGGCGGCGCGCCUAAUACAUGCAAGUCGAGCGAGAAGACGUAGCAAUACGUUUGUAAAGCGGCGAACGGGUGAGGAAUACAUGGGUAACCUACCCUAGAGUGGGGAAUAACUAGCCGAAAGGUUAGCUAAUACCGCGUACGCUCCUUGGACUUCGGUUCAGGGAGGAAAGCGAUGCCGAGGGUAUCGCGCUCUUGGAUGGGCUCAUGUCCUAUCAGCUUGUGGUGAGGUAACGGCUCACCAAGGCUUCGACGGGUAGCUGGUCUGAGAGGACGAUCAGCCACACUGGCACUGCGACACGGGCCAGACUCCUACGGGAGGCAGCAGUAAGGAAUAUUGCGCAAUGGGCGAAAGCCUGACGCAGCGACGCCGCGGUGGGGGAU